GCAGUUAAAAAGCUCGUAGUUGAAUUUCGGGGUUCUACCGUUGGUCGGGCUAUUGUCUGUACUGGCGUGUGGAAUUUCUACCUUCUGGGGAACCAUCAUGUUAUUAAUUUAGCGUGGUGGGAAACCAGGACUUUUACCUUGAAAAAAUUAGAGUGUUCAAAGCAGGCUUACGUCUGAAUACAUUAGCAUGG
rnacentral:rRNA from 1 species